GGGUGAGUAAUGCAUCGGAAUGUACCGUGUAAUGGGGGAUAGCUCGGCGAAAGCCGGAUUAAUACCGCAUACGCCCUGAGGGGGAAAGUGGGGGACCGUAAGGCCUCACGUUAUACGAGCAGCCGAUGUCUGAUUAGCUAGUUGGUGGGGUAAAGGCUCACCAAGGCGACGAUCAGUAGCGGGUCUGAGAGGAUGAUCCGCCACACUGGGACUGAGACACGGCCCAGACUCCUACGGGAGGCAGCAGUGGGGAAUUUUGGACAAUGGGCGCAAGCCUGAUCCAGCCAUGCCGCGUGUCUGAAGAAGGCCUUCGGGUUGUAAAGGACUUUUGUCCGGGAGCAAAUCCCAGUGGUUAACACCUACUGGGGCUGAGAGUACCGGAAGAAUAAGCACCGGCUAACUACGUGCCAGCAGCCGCGGUAAUACGUAGGGUGCAAGCGUUAAUCGGAAUUACUGGGCGUAAAGCGUGCGCAGGCGGUUGUGCAAGUCUGAUGUGAAAGCCCCGGGCUUAACCUGGGAACGGCAUUGGAGACUGCACGACUAGAGUGCGUCAGAGGGGGGUAGAAAUUCCGCGUGUAGCAGUGAAAAUGCGUAGAGAUGCGGGAGGAAUACCCGAUGGCGAA
rnacentral:rRNA from 1 species